UCUUGAAACAGUCUCGCUUUAGGAGGUCUUGAAACAGUCUCGCUUUAGGAGGUCUUGAAACAGUCUCGCUUUAGGAGGUCUUGAAACAGUCUCGCUUUAGGAGGUCUUGAAACAGUCUCGCUUUAGGAGGUCUUGAAACCACACUAAACGGGACAUUUCCACCUGUGACUAAGCCUGUAGUAUUACCAAAUAAAGGCUCAGACGUGUCGGUUUCCACCUCCACGGACCGUCACUCGUGUCUCACUGGACCACGGCUCUGGCUGGCUUGCUCAGAAUUUCAUUUACAUGACAAUGGCUAACUGAACAUGAGUUUACACCUUCCCACCAAGCACCUGUCUUGACGAUACAGAGAGGAGUUGAUUCUGCUCACACUCACAAGUCUUUUCGUGUCACACUCCUGAUGGGAAACAUACUUCACCAAAAAAUAAAGACGAUAGUUUACGUAACAUAAACACUGGAGACACAACGGAGCGAGGGAAGCCUCAGGUGGAAUUGACCCGUAAGUAUUAGACAAAGACCAAAGCAUUAUCAACGGAGUGAAUUAGAGUCAACAAGCUUAAACGGGGAAAUAACAAACGUUUAACCCAUCAUGAUACGCAUUCAAAUGAACGACAAGUCAAAAGCUGAAUGGAAAAACAUUUUAUUCGGAAAGCACAACUGAAGAGGAGUAAGAUGACAAGGAAAAGACACAAAAAAACAGACAUCACAAUAUAAAACCAGACAUCACAAUAUAAAACCAGACAUUACAAUAUCCAAACCAGACAUUACAAUAUACAACCAAACAUCACAAUAUAAAACCAGACAUUACAAUAUCCAAACAUCACAAUAUAAAACCAGACAUUACAAUAUACAAACAUCACAAUAUAAAACCAGACAUUACAAUAUACAAAACAUCACAAUAUCCAAACAUCACAAUAUAAAACCAGACAUUACAAUAUACAAAACAUCACAAUAUCCAAACAUCACAAUAUCAAAAAACAGACAUCACAUCCACCUA
ensembl:lncRNA